GGCCAAAGGAGCACCUGAACUUCAUCAGAUACAACUGCAUCAGGGGGUCCCAUUCAUCAAGUGGAUGACUGGAUUAUAGAGUUGGAGCCCCUAAAGGCAGCGCAACUGUUCAGCCAUUCAACACGUGACGCCCACCUGUCCUUAAACUUAAAUCUCCAAGAUUCAGUAGAGGAAAGGAACAGGGCCAUCGUUAUUUUUUAUAAGAUGCCACGGGUGGAGUGGUUCAAUCCACUGCAAUGCAAAUUGAUAGGUGACUGCCGUUGGUGAGGUGGUGACCAGGUAUAUGCUGGCCACAGUGAUGGAGCAUCUACAAAAUGGAUUCAUGCUAGAUGAAGCAAGAGGAGUAAAGACAUUGCUCUGAGGGUGAGCAGGACCACCUCGUGCUGUCCACCUGCCAUGAGCUCCUGGAGAAUGACUUCUUUGUAGUAGCAGGCAGGAUAAUGGGUCACUGUUUUUUAAAUGAUGGCCCAUGCCUAUAUGGCCUAAGCCAUGCAAUCAUCCAUGUCCUGUU